rnacentral:lncRNA from 1 species
CAAGCUACCCUAACUUUAUUCCAAGUUAUGCAUGACCCUGCCCUUUCACCUCUCCUAGGCUUUUCUAUAUAAAUUCUUUGGAUUUACCUUGCAGACCUCAAGGAAUGUGAAACUGGUGAAGAUGUUGCUCUCCUCCAUCCUACAAGCUAUCCACGAAGACCUGCAGGAGAGGGAGGAUAAGAACCUGAAGCUGGAGUACCUGGACACCCUGACCAAGCUAACAAACAUCCUGAGCAGCCACCCCAUGGCCUUUCAACUCAAGUUCCCUCAGAAACUAGAAAUUGUAACCUUCCUGGUGGAGAGGGACCAGGUGAAGAUCUCGGCCCCCUCUGCCCUGGGCUACAUGUUGCAUCAAGUUGACAAAAUCAAGCCUGGACUCUCCACCCGAAGAGAGAUCUACACUUUUCUAGUCCCACUGCUGCUUAGCAUUCAGGAUAACAACACCGAGGUAGUCAAGGUACUGGUGAUCUCUGUCCUGCCAAGCUCAGCCUGAUUCAUCCCUCUUUCUGCUAGAGCAUAGCCUUUGGCUCUUUUUCAUGAGCCCAGCCUUGGCUGUACAUUUUAUAUCCACCUCUUUGGUGUCAUCC